CUGUGGAAAAACGGAGGGAAAAACAGAACAAGCUACCGGUAAAAGUGAGAAGUUUAAGGAAAACAAAAGGGAGAUAAGUAACAGUAUGCAAGAUAAAGAGUAACCUCCCGAGGAGGCACAAGUUCUCACGUUGGUUUCAAAAAGUUACUUUCAUGGAGCCUGGAAAUAAAUACUGAAAACCAUCAGUCCAGUCUACAAUCUUUCGGAGGGUAUUCUACAGGGUGGGACUAUAAAUGUGAUAUCUGAGACCACGGUGCUGCUGCUGAAGCUCCUCAGAACGUUAUUAACACCCAGAACAGCAGUGAGAAGUGAUGGAGAGUUAUUGUGACUGGAUGAUUGAAAUAAUAAAUAUUAUGCCUAAUUCGCAUUCC